rnacentral:lncRNA from 1 species
CUCAGACUUUCCGUGCGGCGCUCCAGCCGUUCUUCUAGCGAGAGGUCGUACAACGGUGGCAGUAUCCACGCGGCCCGCGUUUACAGAACAAUACGCACAGUAGAACCCACUGGAACAUCUGAAUAAUGUUGCCGAAGCUUUCCGAAAGUACAAAUUGAGCGGUUUUUGGGUGUUUUUUUAAAAUCCAUUUGGAUCAAUCGCGUUUGGUUGCGCACCAGACGAGACACGUGCCUUCGAGGUAAACAGACAGCAGGACUGGACAGCCAGAUAGUAGCCUUGGUUAACGUUACAUUGUUUUUCUCCUGCGUUUUAAGCGUGCAUAAGCGGUUAUAACGCCACCAUAGUGGACGUAGACGUCGAGCGGAGGUUCAUUUUGUUUUCGUUUGUGCACCUUGGUUGAUAAUUGAGACGCAGUUGGACAUGUCGGAAGUACUACAAGACAAAAUGAGUCAUUAUGGAAAUGAGGAUGACGAGGGACACCUUUCCUUCACCUGUCGUCUCCAAGACACCAACAACUUCUUCAGCGGCUCGCAGGGGGGAAAACGCCCGCCCAAACUUGGACAGAUAGGCAGAAGCAAACGAGUUGUCGAGGACGAGAACGGUGUUGACGAGGCGCUAAAAAACGGGACAGAGAAAACACAGACAGAGGCUUAAACACAUCAACCCCCGGAAGGACAUAGAUUCUCAUUUUCUAUUUGAUCCAAAGACACUGUAUAUAAGCACUUUUACUCCAUGUGGCAGCAAGCACUUCCUGUCCCAUCUCCUCUCUCUCCCAGUCCUCAUGAUGAUCUCCUGAGACUUAUACUGGCAGGAUGGGGAAGCAGCCGAGAUGGAGACAGACAGAGAGAUGAAGACAGAGGUGGAGACAGAGAGAGUGAUGGAGACAGACAGAGAGAUGAAGACAGAGGUGGAGACAGAGAGAGUGAUGGAGACAGACAGAGAGAUGAAGACAGAGAGAUGAAGACAGAGGUGGAGACAGAGAGAGUGAUGGAGACAGACAGAGAGAUGAAGACAGAGGUGGAGACAGAGAGAGUGAUGGAGACAGACAGAGAGAUGAAGACAGAGGUGGAGACAGAGAGAGUGAUGGAGACAGACAGAGAGAUGAAGACAGAGGUGGAGACAGAGAGAGUGAUGGAGACAGACAGAGAGAUGAAGACAGAGGUGGAGACAGAGAGAUGAAGACAGAGGUGGAGACAGAGAGAGAGACAGAGAUGAAGAGAGAGGCGGAGAGAGAGAGACAGAGAUGAAGAGAGAGGCAGAGAGAGACGGAUGAAGAGAGAGGCGGAGACAGAGAGAGAGACAGAUACAGAGACAGAGAUAAAGAGAGAGGCAGAGACAGAGAUGAAGACAGAGAUAAAGAGAGAGGCGGAGACAGAGAGAGAGGCGGAGACAGAGAGAGAGGCGGAGACAGAGAGAGGCGGAGACAGAGAUAAAGACAGAGACAGAGAUAAAGAGAGAGGCAGAGACAGAGAUGAAGACAGAGACAGAGAUGAAGAGAGAGAUAAAGAGAGAGGCGGAGACAGAGAGAGAGGCGGAGACAGAGAGAGAGGCGGAGACAGAGAGAGGCGGAGACAGAGACAGAGAUAAAGACAGAGACAGAGAUAAAGACAGAGAUAAAGAGAGAGGCAGAGACAGAGAUGAAGACAGAGACAGAGAUGAAGAGAGAGACAGAGAUGAAGACAGAGAUGAAGAGAGAGACAGAGAUGAAGAGAGAGACAGAGAUGAAGAGAGCGACAGAGAUGAAGAGAGAGGCGGAGACAGAGGCCCAGGUGAAAUAGGUGAAUUCUAUCAUCCAGGGUUUAGGCCCACAGAACUCUUCUAAAACAGGAAUGGCCUAAGAGAGCUACUGGGUGAGCAGCAGGCUUUUGCUCCAGCCCUACACUUUUUUUACACUAGUCAACCAUUGGUCGUACAAUCAAAACUCCUAAGCAGGCAGCCAACAAAUGUAGCCGUGUAGAAAGGGUCUUUCACACACCAGAUUCAGCCAAUCAAGUUCCUGGGUAGCAGGUGAUUAGUAGAAUCAGGUGUGUUUACAGUAUGUUUGGAGCAGCUAAACCAUGUAACCAGGAGAGGAUGAUGAAGGAGGAAGAGGAUGAAUCUAAGGUUCCAGCGGUAGAAAGAGACGAUGCUUUCGAACCCUCACAGAAAUCAGGGAAGGAACAGUAUAAAAACAGUAUAAAUGAUCUACUUAACUAAAGCACACAUUGUUAUAUCAAUCAAACCGUAUGAUAUUACAUAACCAUUCUUUCUGCUCUUGAUUCUUAUGACGACGAGUGCAAACAAAUAAUAUAGGAAACGUGUAAAUAAGAAAUGGUAGCCCCACGUUUUGUUAGCCUGGACACCAGUCUGUUCCUGCUGUCUUGUCAACUCCUUAUGGAAUUGUCAUGUUUGGCGUCAGAAUGAGUGAUAAAGAGUUGGCAAGACAGCACAAAUAGAUCUGGAAACCAGGCUAGCGUUUUGUUGCACAGAGGAGAAAAGAAGCGUGAAAUGGUUUGUUGUAAUCUAACAUAACGUGUGUGUGUAAAGAUACCUUAUUUAUUGACCCUUUGGAUACGUAUUUUCCAGUGCUCAAGGCCUGACUGAGGGACAGUUUUGUAUGUAGAGAAUUGCGAUGACAGAAUGAAUGAAAGCGAUUUCCCCUUUUUUACUUCUUAUGAAUUUUUAUGUCGCCUGAUCAGUUUUUGCAGCUAUAGAGUCAUUUAUAUACGUUAUACAGGACUGUACAUCACAUGUUUGUAAUGUUCCAAGAGGCUUAAGUCUGGAUCGUUAAAUACAACUGUACACCCUCCCCUAUUGAUAAACUAUUUCUAUUGCAUUGCGCAUUAUCGUGUGUGCCAAAUAUCAUGAGGGAUAAGCAGACCACUUGGUUGUUUAUGUUGUGCUUUCUAUACCGUUAUAAAUGUAGACAUUUUGUUCUUCUUCGGUUGUUGCCAUUGUUCAGGGCUAUUUCUUACCACUGAAUUACCAACGCAUGCAUGGCAGAAAUGGGUGGAUGCAUGGCAGAAAUGGGUUGAUGCAUGGCAGAAAUGGGUUGAUGCAUGGCAGAAAUGGAUUGAUGCAUGGCAACGUUCUAAAGAUGAUCUUAGUGUAUUCUGGAACACCUGGUACCCAGCUUUGAACGACUAACCUCCAGAACCAUCUUAAUACUACAUACCUUGUACUGUACUGUACUGUACUAUGAUCUUACUGAUUUGUACUGUAGCCUAAUAUCUUGUAAUAAAGAUUCUGAAGAAGAUAAUUAAGAAGUG